GGGCGGGCCUUGUGCGACGGUGCGCUGUGAACCAUGUCAGGCGGGGAACCGAGCAGCAUUAAGCGGUUGCUUCUGUGUGCCGCAAGUUUCCCGUUCGUU
rnacentral:SRP_RNA from 1 species